UGAAGAGUUUGAUCAUGGCUCAGAUUGAACGCUGGCGGCAGGCCUAACACAUGCAAGUCGAACGGUAACAGGAAGCAGCUUGCUGCUUCGCUGACGAGUGGCGGACGGGUGAGUAAUGUCUGGGAAACUGCCUGAUGGAGGGGGAUAACUACUGGAAACGGUGGCUAAUACCGCAUAACGUCGCAAGACCAAAGAGGGGGACCUUCGGGCCUCUUGCCAUCAGA
rnacentral:rRNA from 6 species